GAAAUGCGAUAAGUAGUGUGAAUUGCAGAAUUCAGUGAAUCAUCGAAUCUUUGAACGCACAUUGCGCCCCUUGGUAUUCCAUGGGGCAUGCCUGUUCGAGCGGCAUUUGUACCUUCAAGCUCUGCUUGGUGUUGGGUGUUUGUCUCGCCUCUGCGCGCAGACUCGCCUCAAAACAAUUGGCAGCCGGCGUAUUGAUUUCGGAGCGCAGUACAUCUCGCGCUUUGCACUCAGAACGACGACGUCCAAAAGUACAUUUUUUACACUCUUGACCUCGGAUCAGGUAGGGAUACCCGCUGAACUUAAGC
rnacentral:misc_RNA from 1 species